rnacentral:rRNA from 1 species
CUACGGCGGCAGCAGUGGGGAAUAUUGCACAAUGGAGGAAACUCUGAUGCAGCAACGCCGCGUGGAGGAUGACACUUUUCGGAGCGUAAACUCCUUUUAUAUAGGAAGAAGAUGACGGUACUAUAUGAAUAAGCGCCGGCUAACUCCGUGCCAGCAGCCGCGGUAAUACGGAGGGCGCAAGCGUUACUCGGAAUCACUGGGCGUAAAGAGCGUGUAGGCGGAUUAAAAAGUCAGAAGUGAAAUCCUAUAGCUUAACUAUAGAACUGCUUCUGAAACUCUUAAUCUAGAAUAUGGGAGAGGUAGAUGGAAUUUCUGGUGUAGGGGUAAAAUCCGUAGAGAUCAGAAGGAAUACCGAUUGCGAAGGCGAUCUACUAGAACAUUAUUGACGCUGAGACGCGAAAGCGUGGGGAGCAAACAGGAUUAGAUACCCGAGUAGUC